AGGGUUGUAGUUAAUUAUAACAUUUGAAUUGCACUCAGAAAGUACUGAUAUCAGUCUACCUUA
rnacentral:tRNA from 1 species